AGUGGCGAACGGGUGAGGAAUACGUAGGGAUCUGCCCAGAAGAGGGGGAUAACCCGGGGAAACUCGGGCUAAUACCGCAUGAGUUCUGAGGAAGAAAGCUGGGGACAUGGUGACAUGCCUGGCGCUUUUGGAUGAACCUACGUCCGAUUAGCUAGUUGGUAGGGUAAAGGCCUACCAAGGCGACGAUCGGUAGCUGUUCUGAGAGGAAGAUCAGCCACACUGGGACUGAGACACGGCCCAGACUCCUACGGGAGGCAGCAGUGGGGAAUAUCGGACAAUGGGGGCAACCCUGAUCCAGCAAUGCCGCGUGUGUGAAGAAGGCCUGCGGGUUGUAAAGCACUUUCGGUGAGGAGGAAGGUUCUAGUGUUAAUAGCAUUAGGAAUUGACGUUACUCACAUAAGAAGCACCGGCUAACUCUGUGCCAGCAGCCGCGGUAAUACAGAGGGUGCAAGCGUUAAUCGGAAUCACUGGGCGUAAAGAGCGCGUAGGUGGUAAUUUAAGUUAGAUGUGAAAUCCCCGGGCUUAACCUGGGAAGGCCAUCUAAGACUGGGUUACUAGAGUACAGUAGAGGGAAGUGGAAUUUCCGGUGUAGCGGUGAAAUGCGUAGAUAUCGGAAGGAACACCAGUGGCGAAGGCGGCUUUCUGGACUGAUACUGACACUGAGGCGCGAAAGCGUGGGUAGCGAACAGGAUUAGAUACC
rnacentral:rRNA from 1 species